UGCGUAGGCGGGCUAAUAAGUCAGUGGUGAAAUCUUCCGGCUCAACCGGGAAACUGCCAUUGAUGCUGUUAGCCUUGAGUUAGGUUGAGGUAGGCGGAAUGUGUAAUGUAGCGGUGAAAUGCUUAGAUAUUACACAGAACACCAAUUGCGUAGGCAGCUUACUGGACCUACACUGACGCUGAGGCACGAAAGCGUGGGGAGCGAACAGGAUUAGAUACCCUGGUAGUCC
rnacentral:rRNA from 1 species